rnacentral:misc_RNA from 1 species
GCUUUUGUCCAUGUUGGAUGAGGUAAGACCAAUGCACUAAUAGUUUCCACAGCCUAUUCUUCAAUGCAUAUAUUCUUUGUCCUGCUUGCCUGUUAUCUUGACUUUGGAAGUGAUUAUAUGCCUUUCUGUGUAUUGAUUUAUCUAUUUUUCAUCAAUAUGCUGCAAAAUGUUGGAGAAAUUUUGACUUGGUUAACUUUAUGAAAGUUUAGCUUUUUCUAUCCCUCUUUAUCUAUGCGUUUAUGAUGCAGAACAAAGAGGAACAAGGGCAAAGAAAGGAACAAAUCCUUAGGAUAAAGAGAACUAAUUCUCGAUAAUUUU